UCCUGGGUAAGGUGGUCAAUGCGUGCUUGAGCCUGUUUGUCCAUCUUCACCACAUAUUCCUCUGCCUCAAGCUUGGACAUACAUUCUUGGUCAGAACUCACAAGGUCCUGGAGGACACCUGCAAAACACCAAGGAUUGUAACGUUAAAGAUUACUGACCAGAGUUCCUGAGGUGGAAAACCGUUUGCUGGAAUGUGACCUCUGAGGGCGGGACUAGGAUGAGGAAGCUGAUCCUGUCAAACGAACCCAGGUCCAGGUUCUGUGUGCUGGAGUCUGCGAUGGCACAAACGUGAGACAGGAGCUUUCUGGCCACCGCCAGCUGGAUGGGACGAACCUCACGCCAUUCUGCAGAGUAUUCUACACACAAACACAUGAGUGGUCCUGAAGGAGAAUAGCUUGGUACCUGCAGCAGAGGACCUCCCAGGCUGGUUUACAUGCAGCUGAGCAGACGAGGGAGCGCCAUGGUUGCCGUUGAUCAGUGUGUGAGCGCCAUCCGUUGUUGGUUGCUCCACUUACCUGCUGUCCGUGACGUUAAUGCAGCGCUUGGUGGCUGUUCAUGGGAUGACAGGCUGCUCUCUGAAAGAGUGGGCCUUAUCGGUCUGAUUCUGCCGUCUGAAACAAACAAAUGUGUCAAACAUCAAGAUAUAGAGUGGCCUCGCUGCAAUUACAGGAAAAGAUAAAAGACCAGGAAAGAGAGAAUCAGUGUGUGACAUCGCGUUCAUCUCUUACCGUUUACUCUCCAGCAGAUGGGAGCUCCUUUGACCAGCAUGCCUUGCUUGUUUCUGUACAGGUGGU